AUCAAAGAAUGUGGUCUCUGAAUUUGUACACAUCCAUCAGCGUUGCAACAUGCACGAAAACAGUGGAAGAGUUGUGUUGCUUUCAGCUGAUCAGAGAUGUCCGAAUAUUGUGAGUAACAAUGAAUAAGACUCCAAAUCUUGCUGUUUUUCUGCUUCCCUCUCCAUGUUGUACUGUCUGAAACAAGAACGCCAUUUUUUUCCACAGAGAACGACUCACAAGGCAUUCAUUUAUACCAGAGAUCACAGGUGCAUGACAGCUUUAGCUCUACAUAACAUACCACAUGCAGUUUUCCUUUGUUAUGAUUUAGAAAGAUCUCAGUGGCUCUUUCACCAGGCAGCAAGACUCAUGAUUUCCUGUCCUGGAAAAUAUAUACUAUCUGUCAGCCACAUGAUGAGGAGCCCUUAUAUGGGCAAUAAAUUUCACCGCUGGACGCAGGCAACAACAAUACAUGUAAUGACAGGAUUCAUCGUAUACAAACAGAUUACCUUUCCCAACUGCCCUCAGCUCAGCUCGUAGCAGUCUAAUGCAGCUCUUUCUACAGAUGGUGCAGCUGUGAAGCUCUGCUCCAUUACGUUUAUCAGUUAAAUUGUGCAGCACUUCUGCUGCAGAACAGACACCAUGAAGGCAAAUAUCAGGCAACAGUGUAGAUGAAUUGUGCAGCCUCAUGGUGUUGGAUUCAGAGCGCUUUGUGAUUACUGUGAGGUCCUUCAGUGAAAUUACCCCCACUUAUUAAAACUGUCUAUCAAACAUGUGGAACAGUUAAUGAAUUUGCUGAGGUCAAAGCAAUUCUUCGGCGGAACACCGCUAUCAUUCUUGCACCAUUCAUUCUGAUCAAUGAGCUCCAAUCAGCGUUUUCCACUUCGCUGUGCGAGCUGGAGUCCUCGGAUUCCUGCAUGGUGGUAAUUUUCUUGUCAUAGAAGUGAAUGAUUUUGAAGAAAAGCACAGCAAAACGUUGCUGUAAACCGCAUCGAUCCGUGCACCUACACUGUCUUCUGAGAAGAGGAACAACGCAGGAAAAGCAGCGCUUUUAAAUGCCAGAUAAAUCUUUUUAACAAAGCUUGCAUGGAAAUAGAAAGCAGACGAUUAAAGGCGCCCCUGAGAUGGGGAAGUACUGUACAGUACAUUCAAGAGGCGUUGCUAGGAAACGCUACUGCCGGGUGAGUCAAUGAGCAAUCCACAGGCUCCAAGAGGAGGUACAAUACAACAGACAGCCCAGCAGCCACACAAUAAUCUCAGUCCACAUGGUCACAGCAAUUAGGUUAAUUGAUAUCAUCCACACAGCUCCUUCAACAGGCAAAUGAAAACUUGUGUUUUUUUAUGUUCCAGUCACUGAAAUCAGAGGAUCAGGAGCUAAGUUUUACCUUUAGAGCUGAAUAACAAUGAGAUUCUGAGUCAUUAUAGGUGAGUUAAACACCAGAGGGGAGUUGGGAGUCAUUUGUGGCAUCCUGCAACGACCAGAUCGUUUUCAUUUUGAGCACUCUUUGUUGUAAAACUAAUUUCGUUUAUGAUGGGAGCUUUUUUUGCAUUAUUAACCAUGAUUGUUCAAAGGGUAAAUGUCAUGAAGCAGAGAUAUGCAAACAGAUGUUAGCACACAGGCAAGAACCUCCAGGUAGAGCAUCACUGACUCAUCUAUAAUGACAUGCUGCUCCUCUGUCAGGUAUAGAUUUUCCAUUCUGAUAUGGACUUUCAGGCCACCUUCCCCUGCAGGGGUGGUGGAAACAGAUCUCUCUCUCUCUCUCUUUUAUUUUAGCACAAGGCUCCACGCUGUUCGUAUUCUGAUUUCAUGGCCUCAGGAGCACAGGUAAUUCUACAUUUGACCCUUUUUAAAGAUAAUUAUUUGACUUAAGGUACAAAACAUAGUAGGGCCUAUUAAAAAUCCUAAACCAGUAACAGAGGUGACCCAGAUGCUAUCUCUUGUAGGGCGCAUACAACAGACCAUUACCGCAAUAUUACUACCAAGCCAGGCGGAACGAAUGCCGCAACAUUCGCGCAACGCCAUGCCGGCAUGGCGCGUUUAUAGACAUACCAUUGUGGUAAUAUUACGCCGAAUUGCCGGCAUGGUGUGUCUUAUAAAAGCACCUUAAGAAGCCACGGCAUCUUUUUGUUUUACUCUAAUAUCGAGCAAGGAAGGAUGGAGGCUAACGUUAUGCUAACGAUACUAACGGUAGCAGUAGCUCAAAAGGUAGUGCAGGUUGUCUGGUAAACAAAGGGCCGUGGGAUUGAUCCUGGCUGCGGUCAGAAUGCUGCCAUUGUGUACCUGAGCAAGACACUUAAUCCACCUUGCCUGCUGGUAUUGGUCGGAGGGACCGGUGGCGCCUGUGCUCAGCAGCCUCGCCUCUGUCAUUGCACUCCAGGGCAGCUUUGCCUAUCGUAGCUCAUCACCACCAGAGUGUGACUAUGUGUGUGCAUUGGUGAAUAACUAAUUGUGUUGUAAAGUGUCUUGGGGGGUUCUAGGACUCAAGAAGGCACUAUAUCAAAUAUAAGCCAUUAACCAUUUAUAACAGGGAAUUAGAAUAAAUAGUCAGCUUUAAAAUAUCUCAAGCUACUUUUUCAAAGACCAAAAUCUUUUAACACUGUGUAUGACUCGUCUUUGCUUGUCAUCUACAAUCUUCUGGAGCUGAUCCGUAAUUGGCAACAGCCACGAAAGUCACGGAAUGAGAGUGAGCAAGUCACUUAUUUGUCUUAAAAAUGGACUGCAGUACCCACAUUUGACCACAGGGUGUCCUUCUAACAUAACACACUUUUAAGCUCUAAACGCAAAUUGCAGUCAUACAUUUUUUAUUUUAAACACAAAUCUUUUGAAGUUUGUUCAGUUUAUUUGAACAUUUUAACUUUCAUGUAACACCAGAAUCUGUGAACAUAAAAUAUACAAUCAGCACUUUGCUUCAGAGUAAUCAGAGCUCUUUUUUUUAUUUUAAAGGAACCUACUGAAUUUAGAUUCAGAGAGGUAAUGUGAGGUAAUCUUUCAGCCCACGGAGAACACCGGGAUGCCAGAUGUAGCUGCAGGAUGUACGCCUGUUUGCAGCAGGUCUUCAUUUACAGCGACAGGACUGGGCUUGUGCGACAUUAACCUCAGGAAGUGGCAUCAUUCCCCAGCUGUCACAAUGAUGGCCUUCAUAUGAAUGAGCAGCAUUGCUACCAGCACCACCAAGUGGACACAACAACACAUUGGUUUGUGAAAAACUGUAUGCAUUGUCAGCUUCCUCCCAUGAGCUGUGAAUGCAAUCCCUCCCCCACCUUGCAGAUGCCCACACUCCCACUCCCUGACCAUAAGACUACUAGACUUCUGAUGAUGGGUCAGUUGCAAUUUACAAUGAUUCUGUUUUUCUCAUGCUGCUUUUGUUCCUGUUUACACUGAAUCUUCCAUGUGCAACAACAAAGUAGUGCAAUAAUAUCAAUCAACUAGCUGAUCGGUAUCAUCAUAAUGUCAAAUCAUUGCAACCUGUGUUUUUAAUAUUAAUCUUUUAUAUCAUUGAAAUAUUUAGCUUCUUAUUCUUUCUACUAUCGUGUGCAUGGUUUUCCAGAAUGAGACGUUUAUGUUUUAUUUUACUUUUCAUGUUUUUUUUUUUACCAUUUUAUUGUCCUUUAAGCUGACAGCCACCAACCAAAUGUUGUUAUAUGUAUGCAUAAUGACAAUAAAAAAUCCCUAUCUUAUUAAUGUAUGGAAAACAAAUGGAAAAUGAAUUCAUUAAUGGUAAAUAAAUCGUAAAUGGCCUGUAUUUGAUACAGCGCCUUCUAGAGUCAUGGAACCUCCCAAGGCACUGUACAACACAAUCAGUCAUUUACCCAUUCACACACACAUUCACACACUGGUGGGGAUGAGCUACGAUGUAGCCACAGCUGCCCUGGGGUGCACUGACAGAGGUGAGGCUGCCGCACACUGGCGCCAUUAGUCCCUUCGACCACCACCAGUGGGCAAGGGGGUUAAGUGUCUUGCCCAAGCACACAAUGACAGCGACAA